rnacentral:sRNA from 1 species
GUUAUAAUUUAGAUGUAUGGAGCAUUAUGCUAGUCAAACAUAUCACUAGAAGAUGGGGCUAAAAAUCCAUUAAUUGUGUAAAAUGAUACUUUAUAUAUUUUGCUUCUUUCGCCCAGAUUGGGGUGAAUAUAUAAUUUUAGAUAUAAGGAAAAGAUAUAAUGGCAUAUAUCCAAAUCCUCAUAUCAAUUCGAGAAAUAUGAAAGCACAUGUCGUGAGUGAUUUAUUGGGAUUAUAUUGAAAAGUAAAUUGCAAAAGCGAAUAAAAGUGACACAUGUUUGUCUGGGAAAACCUCUAGCGUGAAUAUAUUAUAAGGAUUGAAGUGCGGACUAAGUGGUGAUCGAGUGAUCAUAUUGGUGACAAAUGAUUAAUUCUUUUAAAGAGAAAUCGCCCAAAGGUAACUAAAGGUAAGAAUUAGAGAAAUUCAACUCGACCAAAGCCGUAAAAUUAAUUUAUAAUAUUCCAUACAAUACAUAAAGGGA